GACGAACGCUGGCGGCGUGCUUAACACAUGCAAGUCGUACGGUAAGGCCCUUUCGGGGGUACACGAGUGGCGCACGGGUGAGUAACACGUGAGUAACCUGCCCACAACUUUGGGAUAACGCUAGGAAACUGGUGCUAAUACUGGAUAUGUGCUCCUGCUGCAUGGUGGGGGUUGGAAAGCUCCGGCGGUUGUGGAUGGACUCGCGGCCUAUCAGCUUGUUGGUGGGGUAGUGGCCUACCAAGGCGGCGACGGGUAGCCGGCCUGAGAGGGUGACCGGCCACCUUGGGACUGAGGUACGGCCCAGGCUCCUACGGGUGGCAGCCGUGGGGAAUAUUGCACCAUGGGCGCAAGCCUGAUGCAGCAACGCCGCGUGCGGGAUGACGGCCUUCGGGUUGUAAACCGCUUUCAGCAGGGACGAAGCUUUUUGUGACGGUACCUGCAGAAGAAGCACCGGCUAACUACGUG
rnacentral:rRNA from 1 species